rnacentral:rRNA from 1 species
UACGUAGGGGGCAAGCGUUGUCCGGAAUCAUUGGGCGUAAAGAGCGUGUAGGCGGUGAGGCAGGUCGGUUGUGAAAACUGGAGGCUCAACCUUGAGAGGUCGACCGAAACCCCCUGGCUAGAGUCCGGGAGAGGAGAGUGGAAUUCCUGGUGUAGCGGUGAAAUGCGCAGAUAUCAGGAAGAACACCCGUGGCGAAAGCGGCUCUCUGGAACGGUACUGACGCUGAGACGCGAAAGCGUGGGGAGCGAACAGG